rnacentral:rRNA from 1 species
GCCAGCAGCCAUAUCACCCUGCAACUCACAACUGGCAACCCGUUGAAGCUAACCAGGUGUGAGCCUGGUCAGUACCUGGGUGGGAAACCUCCUGGGAAAGCUAAGGUUGCUGCUGGAA